rnacentral:tRNA from 1 species
GCGGGUGUGGCGGAAUUGGCAGACGCGCUAGACUUAGGAUCUAGUGGGCUCCCCGUGCAGGUUCAAGUCCUGUCACCCGCACCA